AAUAAUGUUGUUGGUCUUUAUCAAUUGAGUCCUGCGCUUUGGUUCAUAUGCUCAAAGGGUUUUCGUUUCGUUAAAUGGAGAUUCACGAGAUUGUUCGUGUCAAUAGUCUUUCCCUGCAAAUUAUGACUGAUCUAGUGGAUCACUAAAACAAUUUU